AGGGCCAAAUCACGUUGAAAAACCGGUUCCCGUACGAUCGCCGAAGUUAAAGUGUGUCGAGCCUGGUUAGUACCUAGAUAAUCGACUGCUUGGGAAUACCAGGUGGUGUAAG